rnacentral:sRNA from 1 species
UCGGCUGGGUCCGCGAGGUGUGUGGGGGCAGCGGCAGAGCCCCUGCCCCAGACUCAGGCAGGACCUGGCAUGUCUGUGCCCAUCUGCAAGCCAGGGCACCCCCGAAGCUCUGAGCCUCCCCCAGAGCCAGUUCCACAGGUUUCCCCCAACCCCUUUACAGACAUUGCAGAAGAAGGUGUCGGUCGUGAGUGUGGCUGAAAUUACGUUCGACACAUCCGUGUACUCCCAGCUUCCAGGACAGGAGGCAUUUAUGAGAGCUCAGAUGGAGAUGGUGCUAGAAGAAGACGAGGUCUACAAUGCCAUUCCCAUCAUCAUGGGCAGCUCUGUGGGGGCUCUGCUACUGCUGGCGCUCAUCACAGCCACACUGUACAAGGCAAGUGUUUUAUCCAACUCUUUUUUUUUUUUUUUUUUUUUGAGACGGAGUUUCCACUCUUAUUGCCCAGGCUGGAGUGCAAUGGCAUGAUCUUGGCUCACUGCAACCUCCACCUCCCAGGUUCAAGUGAUUCUCCUGUCUCA